rnacentral:rRNA from 1 species
AACGAACGCUGGCGGCAGGCUUAACACAUGCAAGUCGAGCGCCCCGCAAGGGGAGCGGCAGACGGGUGAGUAACGCGUGGGAAUCUACUCAUCUCUACGGAAUAACGCAUGGAAACGUGUGCUAAUACCGUAUACGUCCUACGCGCGAAAGAUUUAACGGAGAUGGAUGAGUCCGCGUUGGAGUAGCUAGUUGGUGGGGUAAAGGCCUAACAAGGCGACGCUCCCUAGCUGGGCUGUGAGGAUGACCAGCCCCCCCGGGCCCCCGACACGCCCCAGACUCAUACGGGAGGCAGCAGUGGGGAAUAUUGGACAAUGGGCGCAAGCCUGAGCCAGCCAUGCCGCGUGAGUGAUGAAGGCCCUAGAGUUGUAAAGCUCUUUCACCGGUGAAGAUAAUGACGGUAACCGGAGAAGAAGCCCCGGCUAACUUCGUGCCAGCAGCCGCCGCGGUAA